CAGCAGCCACGGUAAUACGUAGGUCCCGAGCGUUGUCCGGAUUUAUUGGGCGUAAAGGGAGCGCAGGCGGUUUAGUAAGUCUGAAGUUAAAGGCAUUGGCUCAACCAAUGUAUGCUUUGGAAACUGUUAGACUUGAGUGCAGAAGGGGAGAGUGGAAUUCCAUGUGUAGCGGUGAAAUGCGUAGAUAUAUGGAGGAACACCGGUGGCGAAAGCGGCUCUCUGGUCCGUCACUGACGCUGAGGCUCGAAAGCGUGGGUAGCGAACAGGAUUAGAUACCCCAGUAGUCCCUGUCUCUUAUACC
rnacentral:rRNA from 1 species